rnacentral:snRNA from 1 species
GUGCUCACUUUGGCAGCACGUAUACUAAAAUUGGAACAAUACAGAGAAGAUUAGUAUGGCUCCUGAGCAAGGAUGACAUGCAAAUUCGUGAAGUGUUCCAUUUUUUU